AAGCUCGUAGUUGAAUUUCGGAGUUAGUAGGUUGGUCAUGCCUCCGGUAUGUACUGAUCUCACUGAUUCCUCCUUCCUUAUGAACCGUAAUGCCAUUAAUUUGGUGUUGCGGGGAAUUUGGACUGUUACUUUGAAAAAAUUAGAGUGUUUAAAGCAGGCUAACGCUUGAAUACAUCAGCAUGGAAUAAUGAAAUAGGACGUUCGAUCUUAUUUUGUUGGUUUCUAGGAUUGACGUAAUGAUUAAUAGGGAUAGUUGGGGGCAUUAGUAUUCAAUUGUCAGAGGUGAAAUUCUUGGAUUUAUUGAAGACUAACUACUGCGAAAGCAUUUGCCAAGGAUGUUUUCAUUAAUCAAGAACGAAAGCUAGGGGAUCGAAGACGAUCAGAUACCGUCGUAGUCUUAACCAUAAACUAUGCCGACUAGGGAUCGGAUGAUGUUAAUUUUUUAAUGACUCAUUCGGCGCCUUACGGGAAACCAAAGUGUUUGGGUUCCGGGGGGAGUAUGGUCGCAAGGCUGAAACUUAAAGGAAUUGACGGAAGGGCACCACCAGGGGUGGAGCCUGCGGCUUAAUUUGACUCAACACGGGGAAACUCACCAGGUCCAGUCAUAGUAAGGAUUGACAGAUUGAGAGCUCUUUCUUGAUUCUAUGGGUG
rnacentral:rRNA from 1 species